rnacentral:lncRNA from 1 species
UCUCCUCCUCCACCGCCUUAUCGAUCUCCAGUUACUAUUCCUCCUCCUCCCCCGGUUUAUUCUCGUCCGGUUGCUUUUCCUCCUCCACCUCCAAUAUAUUCUCCUCCUCCUCCUCCGAUCUAUCCACCUCCAAUAUAUUCUCCUCCUCCUCCUCCAAUCUAUCCACCUCCAAUAUAUUCUCCUCCUCCUACUCCAAUUUCUCCACCUCCAAAAGUUCAUCAUCCUGCGCCUCAAGCUCAAAAAGCCUUCUACUAUAGGCAAUCUCCUCCACCCCCCUCCGGACAACCUUGGUGGUGGUUGCUGUAGGCGGUAAUAUAUUUCUAAUGUCAUAAAACAUGCUUAGUGCAUUACUAUUGUCUUUGGUUUUGAUGUUUCUCAGUUUUCUUUGAUGUAUUUCUAUUUUGUAAUUGUAAUGUGAGUGAAUUUUUAAUCUUCUCGGUUUGUUCAAUUCUUUUUCGUGUUUUUUUUUUUUUUGUACUUUUGAUACUAUAAAUGUCUUCAUGUCACGCGCAUAUGUUUAUUGACAAAAACAAUUUCUUGUUUUACUA